rnacentral:rRNA from 1 species
CUGGUUACUUGAUAAAAGAAUUUUAGUUCUACCUAAAGCCUAAAUAAAGUUUUAUAAACUAACAUUCAUGCUUUAGAGUUAUUCAAAUAAGGUACAGCCUAUUUGAAUAAGGAAACAACCUAGACUAAUGGGUAAGACAUCUACAGUGUAUUAAAGUGGGCCUAAAAGCAGCCACCUUCAAUAAUAGCGUCAAAGCUUACCUAUACAAGUACAUUCAAUUUUUUAUCCUAAUCCAAACCCUUUAUUUUCAUCAAGUAAUUCUAUAUAACUAUAGAACAUAAAAUGUUAAAACUAGUAACAAGAAGUAAACCCUUCUCUUAAAUGCAAGUGUAGGCCAGGAAGGAUAAACCACUGUCAAUUAACACCAAUGAUUUUUAAUUAACAACACUACAAGAGAACCCUAAUAAAACAAGUGUUAAACUAACACAAGAGCAUUUCAAGAAAGAUUAAAAGAAAAAGAAGGAACUCGGCAAACACCAACCCCGCCUGUUUACCAAAAACAUCGCCUCUUGACAAAUAUAAGAGGUCCAGCCUGCCCAGUGACCUAGUUCAACGGCCGCGGUAUCCUAACCGUGCGAAGGUAGCGUAAUCACUUGUUCUUUAAAUGGGGACUAGUAUGAAUGGCAUCACGAGGGUUACACUGUCUCCUUUUUUUGAUCAGUGAAACUAAUCUUCCCGUGAAGAAGCGGGAAUAUCUUUAUAAGACGAGAAGACCCUAUGGAGCUUUAAACAAAUUAACACCUGCUGCCCGAGAUUGUUCUUUCAGAAAUAUAAAACAUAGCAUAGCAUGAUGAUUAAUAGUUUUUGAUUGGGGUGAUCACGGAGUAAAAAACAACCUCCAUGCCGAAAGGGGUUUUACCCUGAGCAAAAAACCACAAUUUUAAGCACUAAAAAAUUAACGUUUAUUGACCCAGUAUAAUGAUCAACGAACCAAGUUACCCUAGGGAUAACAGCGCAAUCCACUUCAAGAGCUCCUAUCGACAAGUGGGUUUACGACCUCGAUGUUGGAUCAGGGUAUCCCAGUGGUGCAGCCGCUACUAACGGUUCGUUUGUUCAACGAUUAAAAACCC